rnacentral:pre_miRNA from 1 species
UUUUGUUUGGGUGUGGAUGGUGCUCAGUACAAAGGACAGGUGUGUUUGGGUGUAUGGAUGGUUUUCAGCACCAGGGACAGGUGUGUUUAUGG